GGAUAUAUUCAUGGGCGUACCGGAAGGAAAAAAUUAGGGGGGCGGAAAGAAAAUUGCCCGACUUUUCGUAAAAUUGCCCGACUUUUCGUGAUUUUGCCCGACUAGUACCAAAAAAUUUUUCCCGGAAAAUUUUUUUUGGCGACCCCCCCCCCGUCGCCAAAAAAAUUUCGGUCAGUGUACCAUUUUAGGGGUCAAAAAAAUUUUCCGGACGUACCAAAUUUUUCGCAGAAUCACAUUAAUUUUCCCAAAAAAUACAUUUGCCCCAAAAUUGACUAAAUUUUUGAAAAAAAUUACAGAAUUUGUCCGAUUUUUUUUUAUAACAUCCCAAAAUUGCCCGACUAUUAAUCGAAUAUUGCCCGACUGCCCAAAAAACUGGGGGGGCGGCCGCCCCCCCCGCCCCCCCGCCCGGUACGCCUAUGGAUAUAUUGGCAGACUGAAACGUUUUCUUUUUAGGACUCGCAACCUGUUUGGCUUUCUC